ACGAGUCCAUCACACAGGAGGGGAGGCAGGAAGGUACACAGCCGCCAGCCCAGAUAACAUGUUGACGGACACAAGAUAACGUGUGUACACAACAUAAUAUUAACUUAGACUUACAAGACCUGUCAUAUAGUGUCAGGUGUUUUGUUGUGUGUGGAAGAAUUAUUCCACAUUUUACCUGUAUUGUGGUGGUCGUGUGUACAGGUAAUAUGGGCUUCCUUGUGACCUUCUCUUAGUGAACAUUAACGCCUCGCGCCGCACUUUCUCAACAGAGUGAUUGGAAUUAUUGCUUACAAAUGUUUCCUUCAUUAAUUAAGUAUUCCUUCGAAGAUUACAUUAUUAUAUCAAUCAUCUCUAAUCAAUUUAUCUUAAACAGUUCCAAGUAUUAUUAACAUUUUUAACAAACUUCUUCGUGGAUCAUGUGACCUCUUUUAGUGUCGCAGUUGAUACCUGAACACUGGUCACUCUCACGAGGCUCUUGUUCCCACUGCCCGGUGUAAGAAAAUGUAUAGAAGUCGUUCAAGUAGAAUGGACAAUGGUGAAUAUAUGUGGACCUACCGGGCCACCUGCACCCACCAGUCUCUCCCUACAUCUCCACCUGCAACCAUUGAGACUCACUGGCCAUCCUCGGACUCUUGCGAACAACAUGUCCAACACUCCCACGGUGACCAAUGGGAAGCUUCUCUUGCAGUAGCCAUUGACCACCGGAGAAGCGACGGACACCUUACUGCCCAGUGGUCAGCCAACCUUAAACUGACCACAGCCUCCACAGGCAGAGCAGACCACCAGACAUUCUUACUGACCAUCACCACCAGGGAAGUGACCGGACGAAUCCAUUACACAGGAGGGGAGGCAGGGAGGUACACAGCCGCCAGUCCAGGAGUGAAAGUUCAUGGGAUUAUCCGGAUGGAUAACACAGAUCAUCUUCAUCCAAACUGGAAGGCAUUGGCUACUGCCCACAUGAAGUGGAAAGUAUUUGUACAAGCACAACCAGAAAUACCACUUGAGCAAAAGGAAAAACAGAAAAAGAUAUACAUGUCACUUGAUGGGGAAGAUGCCAAAAAGUUUUAUGAGGAAUUAGUUGAGGAUUGUUCUCAUCCCAGUUCUAGUGUUGAUCACAAACAGCUUGAAAUUGGAAAUUCUGAAAGAGCUCCCAACUUAGACAAAGAUGACUGUGAUGAAGUAGAGGAAAACAGCAACCAAAAAUGGUACAGUGGAAAAAAAGAAUGUCCUCAGUCCAUACAUAAGGCUAUGAAAUUUGCUCAGAAUAAUGACUCAGUUAAUUUGAGAGAAAUGGUAACCAAUGGUUUUAAUGUUAAUGCAAAAGAUGAAUAUGGCUGGUCACUUUUGAUGGUUUCAGCAUGUGCUGGUGCCAAGGAUGCAGUGCAAUUAUUACUUGAACACAAAGCAAGAACGGGUGCAAGGGACAGCAAGGGUAACACCGCUAUAUAUUUGGCAACUAUGAAAGGACAUAGAAAAAUUGUGGACAUGUUGAUAAAUUGUAGUAAAAAGAAAGACAGUAAUUACCAGUCACCUGAAGAUGUAAAUGUCGUUCAUUUGAAAAAGAAAUCCUUAACAGAGGAGUUUUUCUGCGACAUUUGCCAAAAGACUAUAAAAGAGAGCACAAAAAUACAGCAUGAGACUUCUAUUGUCCACCAGUUCAAGCUUGGGAUGGGGGCAAAUAAAACCAUGUAUGGCAUUCCUCCGAGCAAUAAAGGUUACCAGCUCCUUGUUAAUCAAGGCUGGGAUACAGAAAAGGGUCUUGGUCCUCAAAGUUCUGGGACCAAAUUUCCUGUAAAAACUGUACUGAAGAGAGACAGGGAAGGUCUAGGAAAUGUUAAAAAAGAUAUUGCAAGAGUCACACACUUUGGACCAGCUGAUACUGAUGCUGUUGAAAGAGUGUGUAAACCAGGUGAAAGAGUUGAACGACAUAAUACACUUAGCCGGAGGGAAAGAAAGAAACAGAAGACAGAAGAUCAAAGAAAAGAGAUCGAAAUAAGGAGAAUGCUGAAUGAACCAGAUUAUUAACAACUUUACUUCCAUAUACAGUACAGUAACUAGAAGUCUCCAGUCAUGAUGCCAGGAUGGUUUGACACCAUGUCCAAGUCUCCAGAAGUAGUGCAGAAAUAUUUAGAGGAGGUUGAAACAGCUGCUGAAGAAGUUAUUAGCGACCGACAGGAGAUUAUCACUCUUGACCGUCGACGAAAUACCAACAGGGAGGCA